AUCUAUGGCCAUACCACCCUGAACAUGCCCAAUCUUGUCUGAUCUUAGAAGCUAAGCAGAGUCAGGCCUGCUAAGUACUUGGAUGGGAGACCACUUGGAAAUACCUAGUGCUGUAGGCU
rnacentral:rRNA from 1 species